UACGGGGGGGGCAAGCGUUGUUCGGAAUUACUGGGCGUAAAGGGCUCGUAGGCGGCCAUCUAAGUCGGACGUGAAAUCCCUCGGCUCAACCUGGGAACUGCAUCCGAUACUGGAUGGCUUGAAUUCGGGAGAGGGAUGCAGAAUUCCAGGUGUAGCGGUGAAAUGCGUAGAUAUCUGGAGGAAUACCGGUGGCGAAGGCGGCAUCCUGGACCGACAUUGACGCUGAGGAGCGAAAGCCAGGGGAGCAAACGGG
rnacentral:rRNA from 1 species